CAAUAGCGUAUAUUAAAGUUGUUGCAGUUAAAAAGCUCGUAGUUGGAUUUGUGGCGUACGGUGUGUUCCGGGCACUUGUUGUCUGAGUAACCUGCUGUUGCCAUCCUUGGGUGGAACCUGUGUGGCAUUAGGUUGUCGUGCAGGGGAUGCCCAUCAUUUACUGUGAAAAAAUUAGAGUGUUCAAAGCAGGCUUAUGCCGUUGAAUAUAUUAGCAUGGAAUAAUGAGAUAGGACUUUUUUGCUAUUUUGUUGGUUUGCGCAAAGAGGUAAUGAUUAAUAGGGACAGUUGGGGGUAUUCGUACUCCAUAGUCAGAGGUGAAAUUCUUGGAUUUUGGAAGACGAACUACUGCGAAAGCAUUUACCAAGGAUGUUUUCAUUAA
rnacentral:rRNA from 1 species